UGGCUGAACUAAUUUUGAAUACAAUAGAAUAUUACUAGACACUAAAGAAAUUGUAAUGGAUCCAGAGAAACACAGGAGAGUCUGUAUGAACAAAUGCAGAAUGAAAUGAGCACAAUAGGGCCAUUUACAUGAUGAUCAUAAUAAUAUAAAGGAAAAGAUCAUAGUUUGGAUUCCAUGGAACUUCCCUACUGUGUACUUCUCCCUAUUGGAUGAAAAACUUAUUGAGCAGUAAUUCAGACAUAAGAGCCUUCGGAAACAAAGAGAAAGGUUCCCUAAUACAGAGCCCUGAAAAUUUGCUACAAUCCAGUAUACUGUCAAGUAGUCAGAUGGAAGGUAAUCAGCUGUUUGACAAAUAUUUAUUGAAUGCCUACUACUGCCAAGAAUAGUGGGAACAAUGAGAAGACAGCAACAAAGUUUGGACACUCAUCCAUCACCAGGCAACUGAAAUUACCCAUUCUGUGGAAGUAUUAUGUGGAAGUCAAUGUUUCCUCUCACAGAACCCUGAAAUAUGCCUUUUUUGAUAGAGUGUGUGAUAUGUGUCCUUUGAAUAAAGACAAUAACAUGAACUAGAUUUCAUACUUUUAUAGC